rnacentral:rRNA from 1 species
UACGUAGGGGGCAAGCGUUGUCCGGAUUUAUUGGGCGUAAAGAGCUCGUAGGCGGUUUGGUAAGUCCGCUCUGAAAGCCCGGGGCUCAACCCCGGGAGGCGGGUGGAUACUGUCAAGCUUGAGUCUGGAAGAGGCGAGUGGAAUUCCCGGUGUAGCGGUGAAAUGCGCAGAUAUCGGGAGGAACACCAAUGGCGAAGGCAGCUCGCUGGGACAUGACUGACGCUGAGACACGAAAGCGUGGGGAGCAAACAGG